CCCAGGAGAAAAAUCCUGGGCAAAGGGAUUUUUCAGAAAAUGUGAAUGCAACACUCAUUCACCCCAAGGAGCUGGAUUCCUCCACAGUUCUUCCCAGCACUCAAAAUCCUGUUAAAUGUGAACUACAUAUUUUUGCCAAUUUAUUUAAUGUUUCUUUUCUUAAGCUGUCAGAAAACAAGAAGGUUGAAGAUCCCCAUCUAUCUGAGCUUUGCUUAGUGCAAUGUUGUAGCAGGAGGCACCGAGAGGACCUUGCCUACUCUCCUUAAUGAUCUCCCAGCACACCUGAAAUGCAGGAGUGUCCUGUGGGAUCCAUAGGGGAAGCAUCUCCUAACUGACAAGAGAUAUUCGCUAAGCACCUCAGAAAGUUUCUCCACAAAAGGGGAAUCCCAGGACAGCCUUUCUCAUCCAGAAGAGGAAACAAAAAUGCUUACCUGAGCUGAUUGUCUCACAGCUACUGAAACAUGUGUGCUGGAGGAAAGGAAACCAAAAACGAACAAUUAUAAACAUGUCUUGACCACGGAGUGCAAAAGGCUGGUGUACACCUCUGAACUGGAAAAGGCUGAAUUGACGUGAUCGUUAUCUACAAGAGGAGACGUCUGUACAGAUUAUUAAGUCUGACUGCAGGGUCUGAAAUUGUUAAUUAAAAUAUAGAUGAGAUAAAGGAAAACACCAGCAAUUACAUCACCGUCUCUGGGAACCACGGCUUAGCUCGCGGUGCUCUGGCCCGGGGAUUUACUGCCCUUUGCAAAGGGGCAGGAAGCACACGGGAUGAAACCAAGAUUAGGGGAACCUUCUUACCUGUUCUGCCACCAAACCAGGGCUUGGGGAGGAAGUUUCUGAAAUAAAUAGGGCAUCUUUCUCCUUUUUUUAAAUGCCUUUAUU